rnacentral:rRNA from 1 species
AGCGAACGCUGGCGGCAGGCUUAACACAUGCAAGUCGAACGGUCCUUCGGGAUAGUGGCGGACGGGUGAGUAACACGUGGGAACGUGCCUUUAGGUUCGGAACAACACAGGGAAACUUGUGCUAAUACCGGAUGUGCCCUUCGGGGGAAAGAUUUAUCGCCUUUAGAGCGGCCCGCGUCUGAUUAGCUUGUUGGUGAGGUAAUGGCUCACCAAGGCGACGAUCAGUAGCUGGUCUGAGAGGAUGACCAGCCACAUUGGGACUGAGACACGGCCCAAACUCCUACGGGAGGCAGCAGUGGGGAAUCUUGCGCAAUGGGCGAAAGCCUGACGCAGCCAUGCCGCGAAUGAUGAAGGUCUUAGGAUUGUAAAAUUCUUUCACCGGGGACGAUAAUGACGGUACCCGGAGAAGAAGCCCCGGCUAACUUCGUGCCAGCAGCCGCGGUAA